ACAACUUCUGUAAUCUGUCGUCAAAGGAGCAUAAUGGACUCAGAAAGCCCUGCCAGACUCUUUGUGCCCCCCCCAACACCCACUGCUCUGCUUUGUGUAAAUCCUGCUUGCUGUAUUCCCAGUGAAACGCCAAUGGAAUUAACUUUCAUAGAUGUAAAAAGAGACAGACCCUGUACUUAAGGGAGCCCUAGAGGGAGACUGGAAAGCCAGAGGAAGGAGUUGGUACCUUCCCCUUCUUGUUGCUGAUUAGUCUCUUCAAAAUCACUGCACAACGAUUCUUCAUCCAGCAGCAACAAUUCACUCCUGUUUCAGGGAGACAAACCCAGGUUUGGAAAGGAGCUUUUAAAAUCAUUGGAAUUUCCCAGAGCAUCUGUUACCUACAAAUCCCUUGGUCCACACCUGAGUUCAUGUUAAUGAGAUGGUUUUGAAUAGAGAUUGGAUACCAGGCAGGCCAAUGUGUGAAAAGAGGGCUGGUGCUUUGAGCCCCAGGAGGGUGAAGGGGUGGAGAUUGAGUUAUCAGUUAUGCCUGCAUAAUGUGAAGCUCAUUAAGCUUCUUGGCUGGUGAACACAAUGAGAAGAAGAAUAUGUCAUGAUCCACCCACAGAGAGGAUCCGCAUGCAGGACCCACCCAGACCUCACCGUAAGUCUCUUCAUUUGUCUAAUCCUGAUCUACAUCCUUAGGAUAAAAUCAUGAAUAUGGCACUUUCUUGAGUUGUUUGAGUCAUUUUAGCAAAUUAUGUGAAAGCUCAUGGGACCCCACCCCAUCCCCUGGUUUUGAGGCGGCCAGGUGGUCAGAACU